rnacentral:rRNA from 1 species
GGAAUAUUGCACAAUGGGCGAAAGCCUGAUGCAGCGACGCCGCGUGGGGGAUGAAGGUCUUCGGAUCGUAAACCCCUGUUAAGAGGGAAGAAAAGCUUGCGAGUACUAUGCUCAAGUGUUGACAGUACCUCUAGAGACAGCCCCGGCCAACUUCGUGCCAGCAGCCGCGGUAAUAAGAAGGGGGCAAGCGUGAUUCGGAAUUACUGGGCGUAAAGAGCGCGUAGGUGGUUUUUUAAGUCAGUUGUUAAAUAUCACAGCUUAACUGUGAAGGUGCGAUUGAAACUGAAAGACUAGAGGGCAGAAGAGAGAAGUGGAAUUCUCGGAGUAGCGGUAAAAUGCGUAGAUCUCGAGAGGAACACCAACAGCGAAGGCAGCUUCUUGGUCUGUCCCUGACACUCAAGUGCGAAAGCGUGGGGAGCAAA